rnacentral:rRNA from 1 species
UACGUAGGGUGCAGGCGUUGAUCGGAAUUACUGGGCGUAAAGCGUGCGCAGGCGGCUCCUUAAGUCAGAUGUGAAAUCCCCGGGCUUAACCUGGGAACUGCGUUUGAAACUGGGGAGCUGGAGUGUAGAAGGGGGGGGUGGAAUUCCAGGUGUAGCAGUGAAAUGCGUAGAGAUCUGGAGGAACACCGAUGGCGAAGGCAGCUCCCUGGGCUAACACUGACGCUCAUGCACGAAAGCGUGGGGAGCAAACAGG